GCGCCUAUAGCUCAAUUGGAUAGAGCGUUUGACUACGGAUCAAAAGGCUGUGGGUUCAAGUCCUGCUAGGCGCACCA
rnacentral:tRNA from 1 species